rnacentral:lncRNA from 1 species
CAAAUUCCCUUGCCCUUCACGAUGUAUCCCACUUUUAUUCACUUCCAAGUUGCUUAGAUUCUCAAAAUUACACAUCUUUAUAAUCUUUUCAGGUACCCCUUUUUGCUGUUCCUCUGAUGAGAAAGGACAACCCAUAAACUCUGCCAAUUUCUUAAGAUACAAAACAGUAUCUUCAUUCAUUUCUUCAUAUUUCAAGAAGAUAAACUUGUCCGGAUGUUCCAAACUUGCUUUCCAGUAUCCCAGAACAUGGUCCCAAUAAGGUCCGUACCAACUUACGCCUUCACAAAAUAACUCAAACGCUUCAUCAAGUUCUAUGGGUUGAGUGUUUUGGGAUUUCGCAUACCUGGUACAGAUGUGAUACAUUGAAACAAAUGUAUCCUUGGGGUCCCUGCAAAUGUAAAUAAUUUUACAACCAGAAUCAAUUAUUGAUGUAGGUAAGAAAGAAUAAGGAGCAUGAGUGGCCAAGAGAGGAAUUCCAAGAUGUCGAUUAGCGGAAAAAUGAGCAUGAUCAAGCUCCAUGAAAGGCACAACAUCAUGAGGCAUCCUGAAAAGCAAAGGGGUGGUAGAAUCAUCGUAUGAAGUUCUUGUAAUAGUAGCGAAAGUGAGAGAUUUUAACCAGGCUGUGCCGGUUCUAGGGGCACUAGAAAGUAUGAUAUCAGUGGGUUGAGCCUCAAACUGUUGUUGAGCUAACAGGACUCCUUGUAGGAAAGGUGAGGUGAACCAAAAAUCUUGAUACUGAUAUAGAUGAUCGGGAAGACCCCAGCUGUUCCCUUUAGGGAGAGUAGAAAUCAUCUCUUUGAAAGAUUUCUGAAACUCAUCUUCGUUAUGUUGCUCAACAUGGGAAUCAAAGUGGGAUUCCAUGAUUAAUGAGUGCAAGUAGUAUGGAAACAAUGGCUUUAUAUAUAGGCUGUGUUAGAAAACAAACCGACUUUCAGCAUAAAAAUUGCAGCCAAAGAAUUUUUAUCCAAUUGGCUUUCAACCUCAUAGAAAACGUGGCCUGCCGAAUUUCAUGAAAAAUCAAGGACAAAGGAUAAUGAUGGCAGCAGCUUGAACAAUCUUAGACGGUAAGGCAUGAUAAAGUUUAAGUCGAUUUACUAUGCUUAUAAAAAUGUAAGUAGAGUCUCAUGAAAAAUGAAUUGAGUGUGUGCUGAAAACGUUAGCGAGCUUGAGAGAAAAAAAAAAGUGUUGUGAGUUAUAGAAGGAAAAACUACCAGCAGCUAGUAUAGAAAGAAAAAAAAAGUUUGUAUUAUAUUUUAUUUAUGUGUUAUUACGCUUCCAACAGGCUGAAAGAAUUAAAAUCACAUACGCAACUUUUUUGGACGUGGCGGCAGUGAAAGAGAUUUGGAGCGAGACGUGGAGGUGGUGGGUCCUGUCUUAGGGCAGCAGUCGGCCAUAAACCACGAACAAUCUCGUCAGCCCAAUGGGGGACUCCCAUUUGAAUUUCGUGCAUAUCCCAUUCAAUUUUUUAUUUAACAUUAAUAAUUUUCAAUUUUAAUUUCGACGUCAAAAAAGUUAUUGGAUUAGUUUUAAGAUUUUACGCUAUUUUCUUUUUUACUAUAUUCGUUAGGUAAUUAUUCAAUAUACUGGAGGGUGUAAACUCCUUGUACAAGGUUAAAAAGUUGGCAUGGGUUUCAUUUUCUAUAUAAUUAAUUUUUAUUUUUUACUAUAUUUUUAUAUACAUGUUAUCCUCUUAAUUUUGCUGGUAGAGUUCAAUAACAUCACUAGCUGUAUAGAAUUAGAAAUUGUUUUAGGCAUGUGAAAAUUACUAAUAUAUAUUUAAAAAUAAUAUACAAUAAAUAUUAAAAUAUAUAAUUUAAAAUUAAUUAAUAAUAACUUAUAAAAAUAUAUACAAUAUCAAUUUCGACAUUAACAAAACUUUAUUUUUAAAAUUUUGCACUAUUCUUUUACUAUAUCUAUUACGUAAUUAUUCAAUAUAUCAGAAAGAGUUUAAUUUUUUUUGUAUAAAUCAUUUUUUAUCUUUUUACCACACUCCAUCAUCACAUGUUAUCUUCUCAAUUUGUAGGUUUUAACAACUUCACUAAGCUUUUAAAUUUUAAAUUUUUAUUUUUAAUUUUAAUAAAUAUGUAUUUUAAUUUCAUAUAAUUAAUAUAAAGUAGUGUUAUUCAAACUAUAGAACAUAAUUAAAAUUAUAAUCAAAGUCUAAAAAGUUAUAAUGAAUUUUAAUUUAUUUUUUAAAUAAUUAGCUAAUGAUUUAAUGAAAAUUACUAUAUAUUAAAUUUCAACCUUUUAUCUAUUGUUUGAUAAACUAAACAAAAUUAAGGAUAGAAAAGAAAAUGAAUAUGGAAUUUAUAAUAUAAAAUUAUUUGAUAUAUGAAUCCAUGUGUUGGCUUGAUGGUCAGGCUGUUUACUAUCUCAAGUGUGGCCUGGGAUUGAAUUCCUCUAGUCGCGUUACUGUUAGAAUUUUAUUUACCCUUCUAUUGUGAUUCAUCAAAAAAAAUAUUUAAUAUAUUAUUAAACGUUAAUCACUAUACCAAAUACUCACACUUAAAUAUAAAGAAAAUAUUUGAUCAUUGACGUUUACAUGUUUUGUCAAAAUAACUCUAAUUAUAUUUUUAAGCAUUUUUAGCCAUCAACCUUUGAUUUUUUCUUUUCAAAUUGUUUUUCUAAUAAAUUUAAUAAAUAAAUUUCAAUUUCAAUUUUUUUUCAAAAAAUUUCAAUCUUUCUUAUAUUUGUUAAGUUUUUCUAAUGAGUUAAAUUUUUUUUAGGAUAAUUAUAUUAUUACAUCUUAUUAAAAAUAUUUUAAUAUGAAAUUUCACAUAAUUCUCGUUAAUUUAUAUUUUAAUUUAUUUUUUGUGAAUAUAAUUUCACUAAGAACAAAAAUUUAUGGCUAAAAAAGAUAUGGCUAAUGGCAUGAAAAGAGGAGAAAAUUAAAUGGUGGCCAGGCUGUUAAGAUGUGACUGGGGAUAGGGAUAGACUUCCUUUUAUUUUUUUUAUUUCCUUUAUGUUUGUAUAUUUCAAAUUUAUUGUCAUUUUUUGUUUUGUUUACUUCUAGCAAUGGGCUUCUGAUUUAGAAGUGGGUUCCCACAUCUGUUUUUUUUGUUUUCUAAAAAACACUGAGCCCAAUAUGUGUUGGAAAGUUUUGGUAGCUGUUUUUAUUUAUCAAAUAAUAGCCUAGUCAUUUUCUUUCAAAAUAAAAAUAAAAAAUAUAAGGGUAAAUUACACCAACAGUUACUCAAUUUUGGGGUAGCUGACAAAAUAGUCACCUAGGUUUCAUUUUAGUCACUCAAUUUUCAAAAAGUUACAAAACAGUCCCUUUUGUCGUUUUCCGUCACAGACGUCACAGCAAAGUGACAUGGCAAGUAACAACGUCCAAUGGCAGUCCAGCUGGCCGGUUAGUCACUUAGUCUAACUUUAUCAGCCUAUUGAAACACUAGUUUAGGGUUAGAAAAAAAAUAGUAAAAGAAGAAGAGGAGAAGGAAGAGGAGGAGGAGAAGAAGAAGGAGAAGAGGAAAAAUGGAGAUGCUUGAAGUGAUUCCAUUGUGCCAUUGUGGAAACCCAGCCAAAUUAAACACGUCUUGGUCCAAUGACAACCCAGGUAGGAGGUUUUCUGGGUGUAAGAAAUUUGGCAAUCGAUUUCGAAAACCAUGUCGAUUUUUCAGCUGACGCCCAAUUCAAGAAUUGUGUUGUUGGGUCUUCUAAAAAAAGUGAGGACAUUGGAGGAUGCAAGGAAGAGAGAGAGAAGAACCUGGUUAUUGGUGCUUGUAAUUGUAACAGUUUUGUUGUUUUUAAAAGCUUAAAAAUCAUCUUAUGUUCAUUGAAAACCAGCUUAUGUUUUGUAAUUUUGUUGUUGGUAAAUUGUUGCUUAUGUUGGUAUACAUGGUUGCUGGUAUAUUGUUGCUUAACAUAUGUGAUACAUGGCUGCUGGUAUACAUGGCUAACCAGCUCAUGUUGUUGUUUACAAACACUUGAAAGACUUGAAAUGGGAUAUUUUUGUUGAUUACAAAUUGUUUUGGAAUAUUUUUGUUGUUUAACAUAUGUUAUCCAUGACUGCUGGUAUACAUGGCUAACCAACUCAUGUUCUUGUUUACAAAUUGCUAGAACAAGAUUUAUACAUGGCUGCUGGUAUGCAUCGCUAACCAGCUCAUUUCAUUUGUAUUUCUCAAUACUCAUGUAUCAGAAAAAGACAAUAGAUGGAAAAAAACCUAUGCAUUUGUCAAAUUUUCACACGUUAGAAGAGAUAACAUAUGGAAAAAACAUAUGUAUUUCUCAAUUCUCAAUUCUCACACAUUUCUUAAUAGUCACACAGUUGUUAAAAAAUAUAACAGAUGGAAAAAAGAAACAUAUGCUAGAAGAGAAUAGAUAACAAAUAGCAUGGAUCAAUGCUCAUAUAUUAAGGUGAAAACACCAAACUGUUUACAAAAGGAAUAAGGGGCAAAAUAUUGCCAAAUUUUCCUACAAUUCACCACAAUUGAACAGAUGUGAAUUGUAGGGAAAUUUACAAAAAAAUUCAGUGACUAGCCUAAGUUUAUCAACAGUAGCAAUCAUAGGAAAAUUUAUAAAAAAAUUAUCUGCCAAGUUAAUAAAUCAGUAGCAGGCAAAUUUACACAUUUUCAAAAAGUUAACAAAAUGCAUUUUGUUCACAUCAUCAUCAAUAGUCUGUCAUGGAUGACUCUUGAGUAGAAGGCAUCCAUCUAACAGUGGUUGGUUUUCUCUUCAAUGGGAGCUUUUGUCUUAGGGUAGCUUGUUGAUGAGUUGGGGCAGUAGGUAACUGAGUUAGGGCAGCUUGUUGAGUUGGGGUACCCUCUUGCUGAUUUGGGGUAGCCUGUUGCUAAGUUGGGACACCAACUUUAUGUCUUUUAACCUACAAGAAUAAGAGAAAUUUGAAAAACAAACAAAUUCAUAAAUAGAAGUAUAUUGUUACUUAACUUAAGGCAAAUGACUUACUGGAAUGUUUUGGCCAACUUCCCCUUUGCAACUCAUCUUAUUGUGGCCUACUCUUUUGCAUUUACUGCACAUUAUCUCCAUCCCUCUCUUGCUCAACCUUUCUGUUUUUGUUCUUUCCUUCUCACCUUAGUAGGUUUGCCAGGUGACCUUCUUAGUGGAAGAGGCAAUAUUGGUAGCAUGUUUGACAAAGAGGCCCAUUGUUUAGCAUGCAUGCAAGGGAUACCAGUGAGAUCCCAAUUCCUGCAGGAGUAGAAAUUCUCAACUAAGUCCACCACAUGCUGGCUGCCUGGACCACAUUUAACCUAAUACUUGUCCCCACCAGCAUGUGAUGGAACACACCUAAAAAGCAGUCAGCAUGCUUAUUUAAAACAUAAUCACUAAACAAAUGAUACACACACCCCUAAAAAAAUAGCCCAUCAACAUGCAUAUUAUAAAAAAAAUACUCACUGCAUGCAUAUUAAAAAAUAGGUAACACACCAACAAUCACUGCAUGCAUAUUAAAAAAUAUUCAACACACCAACAAUCAGUGCAUGCAUAUUAAAAAACAUUCACUAAAAUAGCAUGUGAUCAGUAACAUGAAGUUAGAAUAUAGGCAUCAAAAAGAAUUUUUACCUUAAUAAGUCUUUUAUAUUGACAUCCACCUUUUUCUUGAUCUUUGGACACAACAUUCCAUUUUAUUUGUCAGCUCUUUCUUUCUUCUUGACAAUAAGCAACAUAAUCUUGGUCCUUAUUGUUUCCAUCAUGGUCAGAAUAGGUUUCCCUCUUGCUUCCAGUAUCAUCUGUUAGUAAACAAUAUAAAUGAUUAGUGAAUUGCUAAUUAUUAGUAAGAAACAUAAAACAUAGGGGUUUACCUUGUUAAAUGAUUCGAAAAGAUUAUUCACCUACAUGUCAGAAUGACUCCUAAUUGAGAAGUGAGACCUUAACCAGUGAGUAGGGUUCUUUUCCUUCAACCAAUCAUAAGCAUGCUGAUUGGUUUUCCUCAGUUCAUCCAUGGCAUCCUCAAACUCCCUUGUAGUGCUUGCUCUGGCAGUUUUCCAAAGCAAAUAUUUCAAUUUCUUUGUUCAAAAACUAGCCUUCUUGAAAUUGGCAUGUAGGUGCUUAACACAGUGUCUUGUUUCUGUAUUAGGAAACAAUAUACAUAUUGUUUAUACAAGUCCCUGCAAUUAAAAAAAAUAGUUUAAUUCUUUGACAAACCCUAAUCGAAACAACAUAAAAGAAUAAAUAAAUAGAGUUUUACCUUUUGUUUGUCAGACAUGAAAGAUAUCUGGUACGAGCCCAUAAUUUCCAAGUCUAUUGCAAGCAACUCUAAUAACCAAAGCCAUGAUGCCUGGUUUUCACUUUCGACAAUAGCAUAUGUAAGAGGAUAGAUGCCAUUAUUUGUAUCUAUCCCAACAGCUGCAAGCAAGUAGCCACCAUAGUAUCCCUUCAAAAAACAUCCAUCUAAACCUACUAUCCACCUACAACCAGCCUUAUAGCCAUCUUUGCAUGCCUGCAGACAGACAUACAUCCUUUGAAACAACCUGUUAUCCAAAUAACAAAUUGUUGUUGUUCCCUCAUUUUGGGUCCUAACCUCUAACAAAUACUCAUAAAUCUUCUCAUAUUGAGCCUUAUGAGCUCCUUCAAUUAAUUCGAAUGCCCUAAGUUUAGCCCUCUAAUUUGGUUAGUGAGACUAAGCAACAAAAAUCUCUUUUCACAUCUUGUUGUAAUGAUUUCAGAGAAUAAUCAGGAUCAGCAAUGAAUUUUUUUUAUAAUGUUCACCUAUCCAAGCUGAGGUUACAUUCCUAUUUUUAUAGACUUUAAAACAAGUAUGGUUAGCGUUUGAACUCCUAAUUUUCCAAGUCUGGUUAGUAGGGUCAUUAGGGUUUAGCCUAGAAGCCCAUAUGAACCAAGAACAUUUUUCACUGCAGACUGCCUUUAACCUUUUAAAAUCAUUUUUGAGAAACUUAAUAAAAUAACUAUUCAACCUACCAUACUACUUGGCAGCUUCUUUUAGACUGUCUUUAGACUUAAAUAACAUUCCAACCUUCAGUCUAGGAUUACUCAUGUCAUUCUCUAGGUUGAACUCAGGCCAAUUUUGGCCAUCCGAGUCAGACCCAUGUACACUAUCUAACCUCCCAGAAUCAUCACUAUCACACAGUUCAUCUACUUCUAUACCAUCCAUCUUUAAACCAUCUAAACUAACACUUUCAAAUGCAUCACUAUCACUACCAGACACAUCACUACCAGACAUGUUUUCUUCAUUCUCAUUAAAAUUGUUAUCAAUUAAACCUGCCAAACAAAGUACUCAUCGAUAAAGACAGACAACAUAGGCAAACACUUUAACCAUUUCUGUCAGACAAUAACAAAUACAAAAUACCGAAUAAUUUAAUACAAACACUUCUGUCAUGCACAUGGUAGACAACAACCAAUACAAAAAUUAAUUUAAUCAAACACAACUAUUUUUCUCAUGCACAUGGCAGACAAUAAUAGGCAAUAACCAGUACAAUAAAAAAGGUAAAUAACAAAUUUUGAUUUUGCCAUAUACAAUAGGAGCUUGGAUACAAACAAUGACAUAUAUACACAAUAAACAUCAGUUUGAUCAUGACAUUCAUACAAUGGCAGAUACAAACAAUGACAGAUAUACACAAUAAACAUCAGUUUGAUAAUGGCAUUUAUACAAUGGCAGAUACAAACAAUGGUAGAUAUACAUAAUAAGCAUCAGUUUGAUAAUGGCAUUCGUACAAUGGCAAAUACAAAUAAUAAAAAUCAUGCACAUGGCAUACAAAACACAUUAUAUGUCAUACACUUUAAAAACCAAACCCUAAUCUGUCAUGCACAUUAAUUAAUAACAAAUACAAUCAAAAUCGAAGUAACCCUAAAUCGAGAUCAAAAUUAAAUUCUAAUUCUAAAUCGAGAUCAAAAUCGAAAUUGAAAUCAAAAUCUAAAUCAGAAUCAGUGAGUGCUUCAAAAUUGUAAUCAAAAUCAAAAUAGAAAUCGAAAUCAAAAUCAAAAUCAAAAUCGAAAUUAAAAUUAAAACCGAAAUAAACCUAAUUAACUCUAAAUCCAAAUAAUAGCAUUGAAAUCCAAAAAAUUUAAAACUAAAUGCAACAACUUACCCGUUAAAGUGGAUGUAACACUAGUAGCUUCUCUUCUAUUGCCCAUUGUCGCUGACAAUCAAAAACACUGAAUGGUUUCUGGUUUGUCUUCUUUUCUCCCCAAACAAAAUAGACAAUCGUACCCUAAACCUUAUACCCUGUUAAUCGAUUAUUGAACUGAUUUCUAACCCUAAACUCUUCUUAAUCAAUUCUUAAUUCAGUUUAAACCCUAAAACCCCCAAAUCAUGAUUGAAAUUUCCCAAAUCGAUUUUCCUUUCCCCCAAAUCCCUUUAAACCUAAUCUGCUUCUAACCCUAAAACAUUUAACUCAUAACCCUUCAAUUUUUUCCCUAAACCCGCCCCAAACCAAGCACCCAUCAACUGUCGCCAACGUGGCAAGUUAACUUGCCACGUCAGUAAUUCUGUUAACACCCUAACGGUAACCGUUAAUCAGUGACUAUUUUGUCACUUUUUUAUAACGUUGGUGACUGUUUUGUAACUUUUUGAAAGUUGAGUGCCUGAAAUGAAACCUAGGUGACUGUUUUGUCAGCUACCCCAAAGUUAGAUGACUGCUGGUGUAAUUUACCCAAAAUAUAACUAAGGUCAUUUAAUCUUAAUGGCCAAAUUUUUCAUUAAAAAAAAACAACAACAACCUACACUGCAAACUAAUCACUUUUCAAUGAGAAUUGCAAAUUAAGUUUGAUGAAACUAAUACAAGGUUUAAACAUAAUCCUAAUCCUUAAUCAAAUGAUAGUAAAAUAGAGAUUAAACUUUACCAUGCAUACAUUAUUAGUUUCGAAAAUGGAUCUAAUGAAACAUUUCCUUCAUAUUUAAUUAAAACUUAAACCUGAACCACUUAAUUUUUGCUGAGUUAUUUGGUCUAACUGUGUGCUCAUUUCAGGUGUCAAAUCAUUCUUCCAAUCUCCAACCUUCCCUUUCCGAAAAUAUAUUUUGUUUUCAAUCUCCAGAUUUCCUUACCCUUCACGAUGUUUCCCACUUUUAUUCACUUCCAAGUUGCUUAUAUUCUUGAAACUACACAUCUUUACAAUUUUUUCAGGCAUCCUUUUUUGCGCUUCCUCUGAUGAAAACGGACAACCCAUAAACUCUGCCAAUUUCUUAAGAUACAAAACAGUAUCUUCAUUCAUUUUUUCAUAUUUCAAGAACAUAAACUUGUUCGGAUGUUCCAAGCUUGCUUUCCAGUAUCGCAGAACAUGGUCCCAAUAAGGUCCGUACCAACUUAUGCCUUCACAAAAUAACUCAAACGCUUCAUCAAGUUCAAUGGGUUGAGUGUUUUAGGAUUUGCAUACCUGGCACAGAUGUGAUACAUUGAAACAAAUGUAUCCUUG